rnacentral:rRNA from 1 species
UACAGAGGGCCCAAGCGUUGUUCGGAUUCACUGGGCGUAAAGGGUGCGUAGGCGGUCGGGUAAGUCUGAUGUGAAAUCUCACAGCUUAACUGUGAAACUGCAUUGGAUACUAUCCGGCUAGAGGAAUGGAGGGGAGACUGGAAUACUUGGUGUAGCAGUGAAAUGCGUAGAUAUCAAGUGGAACACUAGUGGCGAAGGCGAGUCUCUGGACAUUUCCUGACGCUGAGGCACGAAAGCCAGGGGAGCAAACGGG